UUUUUUUUUUUUUUGGUUGAUUUUACUUUAGAGAAAGUAGGUGAUCAGUCAGCUCUUCCUUUGCUUCUUCCCCUGCAUCUCACCCUCUCCUUCCCUUUCCUCCUCUUUUUUCUUCCCAUUUCCUCUUCUUUUCUCCUGUAUUCCUAGCCCUUCCCUCCCUCCCCUCUCUUUGUCCCCCUCCCCCCUCUCCCCCUCCCCUCUGCAGGGGUGAUGGAGUCAGGAAGGAGGAAAGGGUCCACGCUUUUCCAAUUUGUUUUCCUGCACCAGAGCUGUGGCUUCAAACCAACAGAGAAACUGUUUGGGAGAAAGAGACCUCUGAGGAUUCGGCACUUAUCAAAGGCCCAUCAACGUCUGGGCAGUGGACUUCCUGUUUAUACAGCUCUCCUUCUCCGGGAGGCUCAGCUGAGUCUGGCCAGCUGUGGCCUGGGCAAGCCGCCUAGCUCCAAAGCCCAGCAUCACACCCGUUGGUGUUGGGCCCAGGCCCCUGGAAACUCACAGUGUCCAUCCCUGUUGCCCAAUGCUCCCCACACCUGAACAUCUGUGAUUUCUGAACACCCACUUCUUUUAUGUCCAUCUCCCUCCAUGGGGGCUUCUGGGGGCAGGGCUCAGGAGCAGGGCUGGGGCAUUUUCUGCCUCUGUUUCCCUGUGUCCACUGUUUCCCAGGCAGGACUUUCUGGGCUACUCCUGUGUCUCUAAACUGGAAGGCACCUGGGCCUCAUUCUCCUGUCCUCACAUGUGUGUUAAACUUCUACUAUGUUCUCUGCACUCUUUAGGGCUGUGGUGACACAGAUAGAUAUGGAUGAGGCUCUCUGCUCUUACACACUCACGUUCACAGAGAAAUGAUGAGGGAGAAAGUAUCAAAUGAUAAAUGGGGUGGGGGCCAUUAGGGUGCAGAGGUGGAACUGAGGGGAGCAGAUGGUCUGCCUAGAGUGACCAGAAGAGGCUUCUGUGGGGGGAUUUAAGUCGAGGGUGAAGGGGGGCCAGCAUGGGAAGAUGUAAGGGAUUGUGCUCCAGGCAAAGGGAACCCUCAGUGCAAAUGCCCUGGUCCUGAUGAGGUAGCAAGCGGAGCUUGAUCAAGGGGCAGAGAAACAAUGAGGGAGACUGGAUGGCAGGGAACAGGUGACUGGGUGCUUUUGAUGAGCACUGGAAGGUAACCAGAGGCAGAGCUCCUUGGGCCCUAUGGGCUCAGAAAGAUGCUGUGAUUUUGUUAUAAAGGCUCAGAAAAAAACCAUUGGAGAAUUUCACAUGAGGAGAAGAGUGUGAACCAAUUUAUAUUUUAAAGAUCAAUCUGGGAGUUCUCAUUGUGGCUCAGUAGUAAUGAACCCAACUAGUAUCCAUGGGGACGUGGGUUCGAUUCCUGGCCUUGCUCUGUGGGUUACGAAUCUGGUGUUGCCAUGAGCUGUGGUGUGGGUUACAGACGUGGCUUGGAUCCUGUGUUGCUGUAGCUGUGGUAUAGGCCAGCAGCUACAGGUCC
rnacentral:lncRNA from 1 species